rnacentral:rRNA from 1 species
GGACCAAUUAGUCAGUGGUGAAAUCCCCGAGGCUCAACCUCGGAACUGCCAUUGAUACUGUUGGUCUUGAAUACGGUUGAAGUAGGCGGAAUGUAGCAUGUAGCGGUGAAAUGCAUAGAGAUGCUACAGAACACCGAUCGCGAAGGCAGCUUACUAAACCGAUAUUGACGCUCAGGCACGAAAGCGUGGGGAGCGAACAGGAUUAGAUACCCUGGUAGUCCACGCCGUAAACUAUGAUCACUCGUUGUUGGCAAUACACAGUCAGUGACCAAGCGAAAGCGAUAAGUGAUCCACCUGGGGAGUACGAUCGCAAGGUUGAAACUCAAAGGAAUUGACGGGGGCCCGCACAAGCGGUGGAGCAUGUGGUUUAAUUCGAUGAUACGCGAGGAACCUUACCUGGGCUCAAAUGUAAGUUGACAGUUUCUGAAAGGGAAUUUUCUUCGGACAAUUUACAAGGUGCUGCAUGGUUGUCGUCAGCUCGUGCCGUGAGGUGUCGGGUUAAGUCCCAUAACGAGCGCAACCCCUACUCUUAGUUGCCAUCAGAUAAUGCUGGGGACUCUAGGAGAACUGCCUACGCAAGUAGAGAGGAAGGUGGGGAUGACGUCAAAUCAGCACGGCCCUUACGUCCAGGGCUACACACGUGCUACAAUGGCCGGUACAGAGGGCAGCCACCUGGUGACAGGGAGCGAAUCUCUAAAGCCGGUCUCAGUUCGGAUCGAAGUCUGCAACCCGACUUCGUGAAGCUGGAAUCGCUAGUAAUCGCGCAUCAGCCAUGGCGCGGUGGU